rnacentral:rRNA from 1 species
AUUAGUGGCGAACGGGUGAGUAACACGUGAGUAACCUGCCCUCCACUCUGGGAUAAGCACUGGAAACGGUGUCUAAUACCGGAUACGAGCUUCCGCCGCAUGGUGAGGAGCUGGAAAGAAUUUUGGUGGGGGAUGGACUCGCGGCCUAUCAGGUAGUUGGUGAGGUAAUGGCUCACCAAGCCGACGACGGGUAGCCGGCCUGAGAGGGUGACCGGCCACACUGGGACUGAGACACGGCCCAGACUCCUACGGGAGGCAGCAGUGGGGAAUAUUGCACAAUGGGCGAAAGCCUGAUGCAGCAACGCCGCGUGAGGGACGACGGCCUUCGGGUUGUAAACCUCUUUUAGUAGGGAAGAAGCGAAAGUGACGGUACCUGCAGAAAAAGCACCGGCUAACUACGUGCCAGCAGCCGCGGUAAUACGUAGGGUGCAAGCGUUGUCCGGAAUUAUUGGGCGUAAAGAGCUCGUAGGCGG